UGUUUCUUUCCUUGUCAAUUUUCAUGUCUCGUUAAUUUUUGCCAUCCUAACUGGUAUUAGGUGGUAUCUCAUUGUGGUUUUGAUUUGUAUUUCCCUAAUGGCUAGUGAUGUUGAACAUUUUUUCAUGUGUCUGUUAGCCAUUCAUAUGUCUUCUUUGGAGAAGUGUCUGUUCAUGUCUUCU